rnacentral:rRNA from 1 species
AUUGAACGCUGGCGGCAGGCCUAACACAUGCAAGUCGAGCGGCAGCGGGAAAGUAGCUUGCUACUUUUGCCGGCGAGCGGCGGACGGGUGAGUAAUGCCUGGGAAAUUGCCCAGUCGAGGGGGAUAACAGUUGGAAACGACUGCUAAUACCGCAUACGCCCUACGGGGGAAAGCAGGGGACCUUUGGGCCUUGCGCGAUUGCAUCUGCCCGGGUGGGAUUAGCCAGUUGGUGAGGUAAUGGCUCACGAAGGCGACGAUCCCUAGCUGGUCUGAGAGGAUGAUCAGCCACACUGGAACUGAGACACGGUCCAGACUCCUACGGGAGGCAGCAGUGGGGAAUAUUGCACAAUGGGGGAAACCCUGAUGCAGCCAUGCCGCGUGUGUGAAGAAGGCCUUCGGGUUGUAAAGCACUUUCAGCGAGGAGGAAAGGUUGAUGCCUAAUACGUAUCAACUGUGACGUUACUCGCAGAAGAAGCACCGGCUAACUCCGUGCCAGCCGCCGCAGUAACAC